UGUUGAAGGUUAGACACAUAAAUGUUAGAUCGUUGAUGCUUGAUACUCCGCUAGAUUUAAAAAAUUACAUUUGAUUACAAUUAUGAUAUUUUUGCUAUCACUGAAACUUGAUGGUCUGAUAUUAUUACUGAAAAUUUAUAUUACUGGCAAUGAAAACUAAUAUUGCUGGCUUUCAAUUAAUAAGCUAGGAUAGGUUUCCACGUGGGGAAGGAGUUGCUAUUUAUAUUAAGAAUUACUUAAAGUGUACGCCUUGUUUAAAUCAAGCUCUAGAAUAUCUGGAACACAUUUGAAUCAGGGUGCUGUUGUGUUAAUGGCACGCUCUGAUCACAAUGGACUUCUGAUCGGGAUAAUCAGGCGAGAAGUGGCUGGACGCUCCCUGGGGAUUCACAAGGCCAGGAGUCUUAAGGGGGGUGAGCGUGGCGCCUCUGGGGAAUGUAUUAAUCCGACCACCCUCAGGGCGAAACUAAACGAAACGAACCGUGUUGUGAUCGCUGCUCAGCUGACUGCUCUCCAAAGAGCGAUACUAGAACAGUUAAAUCUCUUCCUGAGGGUGGCCCAAAAGUGAAGUUCCAUGGAUGUUCGCAGAAACCCGCGUGGCUACAACUCCUUUGUGCUAACGAUUAAUCUGCAAAAUGGCUUGAAGAGGCUGCAGAGUUCAACCUUGACAGGGAGCUAGACUGAGGUUCGUGAGGGAGCCGACGUUCCACGAUCUCAUGUCUGCGUGGCAUACUGGACCGGUGGCAAUUUGGAAACGGCGAAACAAUAUAAACUCUCUUUUACAGCCUCUGUAAUACACUACUAACAGCAGCGGCUUGUGCAGCGGUACAGAUUUCGAAGGCACAGGGCUGCAUUUAAAUAAUUUUAUGAAUUUAAUUGACAUAUUUUAAAAAAUGAUUAUUUUCGUUUUAAUUUUAAAUAUAUUAUUAAAUGUACGGAACAUUCCGCCCACCUUGAAACGCAUGAGGAUACAGGCUUUCAAAGAAACCAUAUCUAAUGAAAUAUUAUACUUAAUUACAAGCUAAAUUAAAUUAGAAACUUGUAUAUAAACUUAUUUGUAAAAAAUAAACUUAAAAUAAAAUGUCACUAGGACUAGUCUUCACUUGGUGGGACGCACACCUUGCGAACUGAUCAGUGAUGUAAUCUCUGCACCAUAUCUUCCAGAAAUGUUGGAACAUUUGAGUUAAAAGUUGAUAUCGAGAAAGACGUCCUAUUUUAAUCUCCGUCAAGUCUGUCUCAGGAAUUGCAACUAGUGGACAGCCAAUUAAAAAAAUACCUGGCGUUAAUGGAUUAAGGUCAUCGGGGUCAUUGGGAAAGAGGUCUAGAAUUUAAGCAGGCUUCUACUUGAGUUAUUAUGGUAUUGAAUUCUUCGUAUGUCAAAGUGGUGUCUUACCAACAACUCGUUUCAAAUGAUAUUUUACUGCUUUAACAGCACUCUCCCAUAUUCCACCAAAAUGUGGAGAUCGCGGUGUUAAAAAUUUCCACGUCGUAUUAUGUGUUUGAUUUUAACGGACUGUAUAUUAAAAAAAAAAAUUAUUUGAGAAUAGUUUUUUUAAUAUACAGUCUCAAGUCAGAGAAUGGUUCAAACACUGCUAACGUUAAUUAAAAUCGACAAAAUAAAAGGAUACUAUACGUUCAAAAAAGCAAGAUGUAUUUUUCCUUUUAUUUAUAAGUGUAAGAACUUAACUAUAGUGAAAUUUGCAAAGAACAAUAACUCCCAUCAGCUUCUUCUUCAUCCAAAUCCUCAACAUUAUCCAUAGAGGAGUUCGAAAGAACUUCUUCCCUUUCCUCCACAUAACUCUCUUCAGACCACUUGCCAGAAACUUAUUCUAGUAUUGCCUGCAGAAUUUCUUGAGAUCUCUCAAACUUCUCUUUCAAUGCAUCUAUCCUAUCACUGGUCGUCUUCUUCCUAUGAGUCUUAGCUAAUUCUGGUUGUGAUUGAAAAUCAGAAUCAUCGUCUGAGACCAUCUCUGCGAGCUGCAUAGAAGCUUUCUUCUGAGAUAUCAAAAGAGGUUUUAAAUUUACAAUCGAUUGAGAGACAAGCUGACACUGAAGAUGGGACCCUCUAAUUUGCAUCGCCAAGGCCGACGGACUUAUAAUUAGCGCUUUACAAAACUCCCAUUGGAUCAUUUUGGACUUCAUAUCUCGGAAUUGUUUCUCAUUCAAACCGCUUGAAUUGCGAUCAAACGAUUUCGCAAUGCCUACAGUUGGUAGGGCAAAUCUGAUUUUAUUCAAAGUCUGAGAAUCAAUUUUUAAAUUGAUUGGUGCAACAAGUGCAAACAAAUUUUCCAUUCCCUCCAGCCAUCAGGAAGACUUUCUGCGGCAAGUUGUUUGAGGCGUCUUAAAAUAAGAUUAUCCUCUCCCUCACUUUCCUGCUCCGGCUCUUCAAACAGUUUGCCAAGUGUGGUAAAUUCGUUAGACAAUGCCAUCUGCAACAAAUAAAAUAUUGUUGCAGAUUGUUUUAAUUAGCCACCUAUAGUAACAAAACAAUUGAAGACAUUGUGCCGCGCGUGCACUUCAAAUUGAGCCAUAAUGCUCCAAAUCCGAACUGUUCUGUUCCAAAAUUGAGCCGCACAUCUUUCAACUUGAGACGCACGGCCCAACGUUGAGCCAUACGGCUCCAAAUUUGAGCCGCACGGCUGCGAAAUUGAGCCGCACGGCUCUCACUGGUUCAAAUCAGAACCCAGUAUUAGUAAUAUAGCAUAAUAUUUUGUUGCUUAGGAGCGAACAAAAUUAAAUAAAUAAUAUAGCGGGUGUUUAAGAACAAACGCCGCAUGUUGUACCAACAAAAAAAAAAUAGCUAGAAUCACAGAAAUAAAUCAAAUUUAAAAUAAAUAACACAUACCUCUGAAUUAUCCAUGGCACAAAACAUUAAAAAUAACAGCACAAGUCCGCGAACUCUUUAGUCAAUUUUAACGCUCUGAUUGCUUGGGAAAAUAAAAGGGUACUGAAAAAUGACAUACGAUGCACUAGCCGGCGUGGCGGCGCGCCGCCGCUAAGCGAAGACGGCACAACAGCGAACUACGAAAGAUAUGGAAGGGGCACGUCCAUAGGCGGAGAGUUAGAGGUAUAUCUACGCUUUUGAUGCAACGGAAAGUAGAAGCCUCGUCGCCCUCGGCUCUGCUCCGUACUUCGUCAUUUCCUAUCGCCAAACAGCUACGCAACGGCGACGACCGCGAUCGAUCGAUGAGCAAGAACGGGACUCCUCGACACGAGCCUAUUUCAUGUCCUAAUGGAUGCCAGCACGAUGGAAGGCUUCGUUAAUUAUGUUGUUAUUUAUUAAGCACUGAUAAAUUCAAUAUUCAUCUCGAAGGACCAAAUGGACCAUAGUGGUAUAGUUCUAUGGAAUCAGAGACUAGAGAAUUUAUUUAAUAACUUGCGUUUAUUAUGCACAGUUCCUCCACAGUUCGAAAACGGCGAAACUCUAUACAAAAAAAACAUAAACUUUCUCUUAUAGCCUCUGUAACACACUACUAACGGCAGCGGCUUAUGCCGCGGUACACAUUUUGAAGGCACAGGGCCGCAUUUAAAUAGUUUUAUGAAUUUAAUUGACAUAUUUUGAAAAAUUAUUAUUUUCCUUUUAAUUGUAAAUAUUUUAUUAAAUCUACAGAACACAUACCUUCCGGACGACGGUGAAAUCAUCAGAGAUGUCCGGAUGAUGUGCUAAUGCGUCUGGACUAAGGCUGACAAGAGCGAAGAACUGAGGAUUCGGACAAUAAGACGCCUAAUACGGCCUCAGCUCAAUCCUCAGAAGGGGCCGACCUGGAGGACUUUUAAGGUACUAUAAGCCAAUCUGCAGCAUGGUAGGGCUGCAAGCAAUGUCCUAGCAAAAAUAUUCGAUGAGGCGAAAAUCGACAUCGCUCUUAUCCAAAAACCACGGAGCUCCAAUAAAGGUCGAGUUUGUGGCCUGGUUAUAACCACUGACCUCUGCUACAAGGACAUCAUAGCGGCCCACGUCUAGUUGCCCCAUGCAGUUGCCACCCAUAGUUGCCCUCGGGUAGUGCAAACAUUAAUAACAGAGGUAAAUUAAUCAACUAUAUAAUUAAGGAGGAAAUAACAAUUAAUAAUACAAACUUUAACACUAAAAACAGAAAAAAGGUACUAGAUCUAACUAUUAGUUUAAACUAAUCAGAAAAAGAAAUAUGGAAAAACUCAAACCAUUAAUCCUCAGAGGUGAAACCAUCAAACUUGCGACAGACAAAACAUUCAAAAAAGCAAAACUGUCCCUAUGGAACUAGGGAUGAAUGCUGGAGAAUGAACCCAUAAGAGAUGCAGUGACCUCUCUGUACAUAUAUCUGCAGCGAUAAAAACCACUUACAGGCUGUACCAUGUCAUAAAUGGUAUCUCGCCAAACAAAGUCUGGAUGGAAUCAACUGAACUGGUUGAGGUGUGCAAUUAUAGCACACUCGGAAGGCCAUCAGACCUAAUGCCAAAAAAAAAUUAAAAUCAAGCUCAUGCUUGGUCAACAUACCAGAUUGAGCAAAGUGGGAUCAGAAACGGAUGGAGCUUAAGAAAGCGGACAUCCGAUUAUAUUUAAGUUCCAAAACCAAUUUUGGAGUAGGUGUACGAAUAUCACUUAUCCAAGAACAGAAAUAUCUAACUGCCAUAGGAAACACUCAUCAAUCUUACAAACGAAAUUACAUGCCAUUGAAAUCUGUGCAAGAAUGCUUAACCAAAUACAACUUGAAAACAAAACCAUCAAAAUCUACAGCAAUAGUCAAACGGCUCUAAAAGCGCUAGAAUCCUACCUACACAUCUAGAGCAAUAUGGAGCUGCAAAAACGAGCUCGUACUGCUUGGGGAAAGGAACAAAAUUCUCCUAAAAUAAAUACCGAGACAUGCUGGGCUUACAGGAAAUUGGGCGGCUGACAAGUUUGCCGAAAAAGGAGCAGAAUCCAACCUGAUAGGUCCAGAACUAGCAUUAGGCAAUGACGGCAAAAUACACAACUCUGGUGCGUAACUCUGAUAAGCAAAGAUUAUAAGGACACAAUUAUGCGAAGGCUUUCAUACCGGACGCAACAAGGAAAGUAACAAAACAUGCUUAGUCUGCAUGGAGUAUGGUUUCUUAUGAGAGUAAAGCAGUAGUACUUUUACAAAUUUCAAGGUGUUUGAUUUUAAGCCCAAAUUCUUAAAACUAAAUGUAACAUUUUCCAUGAAGAUGAAAAAAAGAUAUGAGGCUGUGCACAGUUUGCAUUCUCAACGUUCACGAAGAAUGCGCAGGGCUUACCAAAAAAUAAGAUUAAAUUAAGUUUGCUUGUCCAGACUGUUUAUAAUUAUAUUAGGUAAGAGUUUAAAAAUGUGUAUACCCUUCUCUUAAAUGAUUCAAAAAAUUGUAAGUUUGGU